GGCUCGGUAGCAUGGUUGGCAAAGCGCUCGUCUAGAAUACAAGAGUCCUGGCUUCAUAUCCCAGCCGAGCAC
rfam:Aedes aegypti strain Liverpool supercont1.1 genomic scaffold, whole genome shotgun sequence.